CCGAUCUUUUCCGAUCUCUGGUGUUUCCGCUGCGCCGCCUCCUCGCAGCUUCCCUCUCCUGAGCGCCUCCACCAUGGUGGACAUUCUGGUGUUGAUGUUCUUCGCCGUCAUGGGCCUCGUCUUUCUCUCUUACAUCAUCUACAUGCUGUGAUGAGUCAGUCCUCUGCCUGCGCAGCCGGACGUCCUGCAUCCGUUCUGCAUCCGUCCUGCAUCCAUCCUGCAUCCCUGCUCUCCAUCAUAGAUUUAGAUCCUGAUGCAGGUCAUGAUGUUUCUCCUCUCAGCUUACAGACGGAACAUGGGAAACCCAGAGGAAGACCAAUGGAGACCUUUCUUAUUUUCUUGUAUUUUCCUCCAUCUUUGGCCUCAGUUCAUCCUCUCCAACAGCCCUGCAGCCCUUAAUGCUUUCCUUCAAUCAGUGUUAUCCAUAAAACAGGAUGUUUCCACUGUGUUUUCCUUCAUGCUUCCUUAUUGAUAGCAACAGAUCACUCAUACUGCUACGUUUAAAUGUUUGUUUUCCUAAUUUUGUCCCAUCUGGCUAAACAAAUUAUUUGUAUGAAGACAGAUUCUUUAUUUGUAUCCAUAUCAUAAUGUUAUGCUUACAGAUGCACUGAUAAUCAGCUAAAACAUGUUUUACAGGAUUUUAAUUAAAGAUAAUGUCACAAACAA